rnacentral:rRNA from 1 species
GACGAACGCUGGCGGCGUGCUUAACACAUGCAAGUCGAACGGAAAGGCCCCUUUGGGGGUACUCGAGUGGCGAACGGGUGAGUAACACGUGAGUAACCUGCCCUUGACUUCGGGAUAACUUCAGGAAACUGGGGCUAAUACCGGAUAGGAAUCCUUGCUGCAUGGUGGGGGUUGGAAAGCUUCGGCGGUUUUGGAUGGACUCGCGGCUUAUCAGCUUGUUGGUGGGGUAGUGGCUUACCAAGGCUUUGACGGGUAGCCGGCCUGAGAGGGCGACCGGCCACAUUGGGACUGAGAUACGGCCCAGACUCCUACGGAGGCAGCAGUGGGGAAUAUUGCACAAUGGGCGGAAGCCUGAUGCAGCAACGCCGCGUGCGGGAUGACGGCCUUCGGGUUGUAAACCGCUUUCAGCAGGGGCGAAGCUUUUGUGACGGUACCUGCAGAAGAAGCACCGGCUAACUACGUG